rnacentral:lncRNA from 1 species
GUGGGAUGUCCCCAGAGCUGUUUCCUGCGUGCGACCAAGCUCCCCUUUCUUGUUUUACUUUUAUAUUGAUGACUCUAUUGUCCGGUUGAAAUAUUAUCGAUUAUUUAGGUAAAAAACAACCUGAGGAUUGAUUAUAAACAUCGUUUGACGGAUACUAUUUGGAAUCUUCGUCUGCCUGUUGUGACUGCAUUUGAGCCAUUAGAUUACUGAACAAAACGCGCCAACAAAAUGGAGGUUUUUGGAUAUAAAGAGGAACUUUAUCGAACAAAACAAACAUUUAUUGUGUAACUGGGAGUCUUGUGAGUGCAACCAUACGAAGAUCAUCAAAGGCCCAUCCCUCCACCCCGUGUCAUCGAUGGCCAGCCAGCGUAUACGAUGAGACGCCUCCUGAGGGUUCGACCACGGGGCAGGGGUUUCCAGUACCUGGUUGACUGGGAGGGUUAUGGCCCGGAGGAGGGGAAGUGCUGGGUUCCUGCUGAAGACAUCCUGGACCCGGCCGAUUUUCGCCGGUGUCAGCCAGGCCUUUUGCUGUCAGGUUUUCUAUCAACCUGGCAGAGUUGGUCACGUAGCUGCUCCAUCUCUACAUCAGUGCUGGUGGAGGGCUAUUUGAUCAAGAAGGAGAGUGAUGGAGUGCUGCAUCAGAUGACCUGGCCUCCACAAUCACCCAACCUCAACCCAAUUGAGAUGGUUGGUUUAGGAUGAGUUGGACUGCAGAGUGAAGGAAUAGCAGCCAACAAGUGCUCAGCAUAUGUGGGAACUCCUUCAAGACUGUUGGAAAAGCAUUCCAGGACUGGGGAGCUGUAAAAAAGGACAUAAGAGGACCAUUGCAGUCAAUGUGCACAGUAUAAUAUUAUAUCCAAAUAUGACACAAGUGAGGGAGAUACGACACUAGGUUCAUUGUCUGUGUUUCAAACUGACCAUCUUGAUUUUAUGAAGGGGUUAGUUAUUAUACCAGAUUAUAAUGGGGUUAGUUAUUAUACCAGAUUAUUAAGGGGUUAGUGAUUAUACCAGAUUAUAAAGGGAUUAGUUAUUAUACCAGAUUAUGAAGGGAUUAGUUAUUAUACCAGAUUAUAAUGGGGUUAGUUAUUAUACCAGAUUAUAAAGAGAUUUGUUAUUAUACCAGAUUAUUAAGGGGUUAGUUAUUAUACCAGAUUAUAAUGGGGUUAGUUAUUAUACCAGAUUAUAAUGGGGCUAGUUAUUAUACCAGAUUAUAAUGGGGUUAGUUAUUAUACCAGAUUAUGAAGGGGUUAGUUAUUAUACCAGAUUAUAAUGGGGUUAGUUAUUAUACCAGAUUAUAAAGAGAUUUGUUAUUAUACCAGAUUAUAAAGAGAUUUGUUAUUAUACCAGAUUAUUAAGGGGUUAGUUAUUAUACCAGAUUAUGAAGGGAUUAGUUAUUAUACCAGAUUAUGAAGGGGUUAGUUAUUAUACCAGAUUAUGAAGGGGUUAGUUAUUAUACCAGAUUAUGAAGGGGUUAGUUAUUAUACCAGAUUCCCUGACCAUGUGACCUUCAUACUGCAACACAUGAAUUAACACAUCCACAAACAAAGCCCAACUUUUUCAAUUAU